rnacentral:rRNA from 1 species
CCUACGGGUGGCAGCAGUCGAGAAUUAUUCACAAUGGGGGAAACCCUGAUGGUGCGACGCCGCGUGGGGGAAUGAAGGUCUUCGGAUUGUAAACCCCUGUCAUGUGGGAGCAAAUUAAAAAGAUAGUACCACAAGAGGAAGAGACGGCUAACUCUGUGCCAGCAGCCGCGGUAAUACAGAGGUCUCAAGCGUUGUUCGGAAUCACUGGGCGUAAAGCGUGCGUAGGCUGUUUCGUAAGUCGUGUGUGAAAGGCGCGGGCUCAACCCGCGGACGGCACAUGAUACUGCGAGACUAGAGUAAGGGAGGGGGAACCGGAAUUCUCGGUGUAGCAGUGAAAUGCGUAGAUAUCGAGAGGAACACUCGUGGCGAAGGCGAGUUCCUGGACAUUAACUGACGCUGAGGCACGAAGGCCAGGGGAGCGAAAGGGAUUAGAUACCCGGGUAGUC